CGGACGGGUGAGUGACGCGUGGAUAACCUGCCGUAUACCGGGGGAUAACACUUAGAAAUAGGUGCUAAUACCGCAUAAGCGCACGGCUCCGCAUGGGGCAGUGUGAAAAACUCCGGUGGUAUACGAUGGAUCCGCGUCUGAUUAGCUAGUUGGCGGGGUAACGGCCCACCAAGGCAGCGAUCAGUAGCCGGCCUGAGAGGGUGGACGGCCACAUUGGGACUGAGACACGGCCCAAACUCCUACGGGAGGCAGCAG
rnacentral:rRNA from 1 species